rnacentral:misc_RNA from 1 species
AACGCACAUUGCGCCCUUUGGUAUUCCUUAGGGCAUGCCUGUUCGAGCGUCAUUUCAAACUUCAAGCCCCCCUCAUGGCUUGGUGUUGGGCGUCUGUCCCCCGGGACUCGCCUCAAAUGCAUUGGCAGCCGGUACGUUGGCUUCGAGCGCAGCAGAAACGCGCGCGGCGUCCGACGGUGCCUGGCUCUCCAGGAAGCCUCCACCCCAAGUUUGACCUCGGAUCAGGUAGGGAUACCCGCUGAACUUAA